rnacentral:rRNA from 1 species
GACGUAGGGCGCGAGCGUUGUCCGGAUUUAUUGGGCGUAAAGAGCUCGUAGGCGGCUUGUCGCGUCGAAUGUGAAAACCCACGGCUCAACUGUGGGCUUACAUUCGAUACGGGCAGGCUAGAGUUCGGUAGGGGAGACUGGAAUUCCUGGUGUAGCGGUGAAAUGCGCAGAUAUCAGGAGGAACACCGGUGGCGAAGGCGGGUCUCUGGGCCGAUACUGACGCUGAGGAGCGAAAGCGUGGGGAGCGAACAGG